CGUUCCCGGGCCUUGUACACACCGCCCGUCACACCAUGGGAGUUGGUUUUACCCGAAGCCGGCGCGCCAACCCGCAAGGGAGGUAGCCGACCACGGUAAGGUCAGCGACUGGGGUG
rnacentral:rRNA from 1 species